AUGCUAAGUCGCUUCAGUUUCUGUCCUGCUCUUCACCACCCUAUGAACUGUAGCCAGCCAGGCUCCUCUGUCCAGGGGGAUUGUCCAGGCAAGAAUACUGGAGUGGGUUGCCANNNNNNNNNNNNNNNNNNNNNNNNNNNNNNNNNNNNNNNNNNNNNNNNNNNNNNNNNNNNNNNNNNNNNNNNNNNNNNNNNNNNNNNNNNNNNNNNNNNAGGCAAGAAUACUGGAGUGGGUUGCCAUGCCCUCCUCCAGUGGAUCUUCUCGAUCCAGGGAUUGAAGUCGAGGCUCUUAUGUCUCCUUCAUUGGCAGGCGAGUUGUUCACCACCAGCGCCACCUGGGAAGCCCAGGGUCCAGGGCGUCUUCAAAAAUGACUUCCCUUGGACUUUCCUGGUGGUCCAGUGGCUGGGAGCACACGUACCAACGCGGGGAACUUGGGCUCAAUCUCUGGUCUGGGAAGAUUCCACAUGCCAUGGGGCAAACUGCAAGCCCACGACCCAUGGCUCCUGAGCCCAUGUGCUCUAAAGCCCAUUCUCCACCACAGGAGAAACCACCACAAGGGAAGCCACUGCAAUGAGAAGCCCACACACCACAAGUAGAGAGUAGCUGCCACUCGCCGCAACACUGCAGCUAGCGAAGGCCCACGUGCAGCGAUGAAGACCCAGCACAGCCACCAAAAAUGAUAAUAAAGAAAUACAAAAAUUUAAAGAGUAAACAUUAUUUUUAAAAAUGGCUUACCUUGAGGCAAGGCAGGAGCUAGUAACUCAUUUCUAACAAAGAGAAUAAGCAAAAGUGUACUCCGGUUAUAAAAGAUGGUGGUUUCCAUCUUGCGCAACCUCUUCUGAUCACUUACUCACUCUGAUGAAGCCACCUGCUGUGUUAUGAGUUGCCCAGUGGAGAGGCCAGUGUGGCAAGAAUUGAGGGUGGCCUCUAGGCAAUAGCCAGGGAGGAACUAAAGCCCUCAGAUUAACAAUCUGUGGGGAAUUAAAUCCUGCCACUAAUCAAAUAGUUAUGUAAGCAAACAAAAAGGCAACACAAAAGAGAGAUUCAUAGGGACUCCAGGAAUUAUUAAGUUGGGUUUUCCCUCCUAUGAGAAGUCAGGGAGGGCUUCCUGAGGAAGUAACAUUUGAGCUGGAAAUGGAAAGAUGCCUAGAUGAGUUUAGGCAACCAAGAGAAGGAAGAGCACUUCUGAUGUAGGAAAUAGCAGGUGCAAAGGCCCCAUGGCAAGAGGGAGCCUGGCAAGAAUGAGACUGAGAGAAGGCAAAUGUGUUGAAGAUCCCAGAGUAAAGGGGAGUUUGGUGGGAGAUGAAUCUGCAAGAGGGACAUAGGGCCCCAUGCAGGACCUCAUGGGUCUUUGUCUGAAGCACAACAGGGAGCCACUGAAAGAUUUUAUUUAUUUAUUUUUUUGUUUGUUUGUUUUUUCACUGAAAGAUUUUAAACUAGAUUUCCUAUGGUAAAAGUCAGAACCAGUCUGACUAUAGCAAGCCUGGGACUUUUAAAUGUUUGCACAAUGGAUUUUUCCAAAGGAGGGUGUUGGAAAUUGGAGGAAACGAAAAGUGCCCACCAAACUGAAAAGGUACCUUGAGAAUGGAAAACAAGGCAGGCAGCUCCAUAUAAUCAACAGAAAAGUUUAUUAUAAGAUAACUUACAGGGUAGAUUCAAGUGGACAGAGAUCCAGAAGCAUUUGCAGCUGCACUUUGAACCUUCAAGAGGCCAUUGGGACAAUUUUAUAGUUAACCUAGGGUUUAGGGGUACAUCCUUGGAAACAGGAAGUGCAUUCCUAAGUCAAGUUAUGAAUGGGUAACUAGUUUUUGCAGGAACCAAGAGUACGUCAGCAAAAGUCUUCAUCGUUUGGAGGCUAACAAAGCAUAGAGGCCACCUGGACCUAAAAAUCACUGAUGACAGAGAAGAUAUUUACUACACAGAACAGCCAUAGGUAGGGUGAGCAGGACAAAAGGAACAGUACAGACCCAAGAUGGCCUCAGUUAUGCUAACAACCAUACAGAGCAGUUCAGACAGAUUUGGUAACCAUGGAGAUGACCAUAUGGACACUAAGAAUUAUGAUAAUGAAACUACAAACUUGGGAAAUUGGGUUUUCCAAACCAAAUAGAAUUGGUUCUAUAGGGGCUUCAAGUAGGCUGAACUGAUGAAAGGUGCUGGAAACCACAUUAGUACAAAACAAAGGAUCUGAUGUUUGAAAAGGUUACCUUCCCUGUGUAUGAAUGAAACGCAGGGACUGUGAAGUGCAACUUCCCAGGAUCCAGAUAGAUUCCUGAGAGCAGAUUCCAAGAGACGUUUUUCAGGGAGACGCCGAAGCUUUCCGGAAAUAGCCGAAGAGCUGAGAGACAGCACCACCGAAGCCAACCGCAAGAGUCACGAAGGAUUUCCGGAAAGAGCCGAGGAGUGGAAAGAGCGGCUCACCGAGAGCUGCCGCGGGUUUACGGAAAUAGCCGAGGAGCCGAGUGGCGGGACCAGGAGGUUUAGAAAAGAGCCGAAGAGAGGAGAAACCACUUCCACGAGGCAAAAAGGUCGGCGUUAGAGAGGCCGAGGAGGCCCGAGUACUUUCGGAGCGAGCCGAAGCAGCCCCGACAGUUUCCGGAGGCGGCCGAAGGGCUCCGAGC
ensembl:lncRNA